UUUAGAAUGCCUGAUAAAAGGGUUAUUAUGAUAUAAUAACUUAUGUAAUUUAGAAAUUACUUCUAAAG
rnacentral:tRNA from 1 species